UACAGAGGGUGCGAGCGUUAAUCGGAAUUACUGGGCGUAAAGCGUGCGUAGACGGUCAUUUAAGUCGGAUGUGAAAGCCCCGGGCUCAACCUGGGAAUUGCAUUCGAGACUGAAUAGCUAGGGUACGGUAGAGGGAAGCGGAAUUUCCGGUGUAGCGGUGAAAUGCGUAGAUAUCGGAAGAACAUCAGUGGCGAAAGCGGCUUCCUGGACCAGUACCGACGUUCAGGCACGAAAGCGUGGGGAGCAAACAGG
rnacentral:rRNA from 1 species